rnacentral:tRNA from 1 species
GGAGGAAUGGCGGAAUUGGUAGACGCGCUACUUUGAGGGGGUAGUGACAAUUUAUGUCGUGUGAGUUCGAGUCUCAUUUCCUUCACGA